UACAGAGGUGGCGAGCGUUAUUCGGAAUUAUUGGGCGUAAAGCGCGCGCAGGCGGUCCUUUAAGUCUGAUGUGAAAGCCCACGGCUCAACCGUGGAGGGUCAUUGGAAACUGGGGGACUUGAGUGCAGAAGAGGAGAGUGGAAUUCCACGUGUAGCGGUGAAAUGCGUAGAGAUGUGGAGGAACACCAGUGGCGAAGGCGACUCUCUGGUCUGUAACUGACGCUGAGGCGCGAAAGCGUGGGGAGCAAACAGG
rnacentral:rRNA from 1 species